rnacentral:rRNA from 1 species
CCCUUAGAUGUUCUGGGCUGCACGCGCGCUACACUGAUGCACUCAACGAGUUUACGACCUUGCCCGAAAGGGUUGGGUAAUCUUUUUAAAAUGCAUCGUGAUGGGGAUAGAUUAUUGCAAUUAUUAAUCUUCAACGAGGAAUUCCUAGUAAGCGCGAGUCAUCAGCUCGUGCUGAUUACGUCCCUGCCCUUUGUACACACCGCCCGUCGCUCCUACCGAUUGAGUGCUCAGGUGAAUAAUUCGGACUGCAGCAAUGUUUGGAUCCCGAACGUUGCAGCGGAAAGUUUAGUGAACCUUAUCACUUAGAGGAAGGAGAAGUCGUAACA